CCUACGGGGGGCAGCAGUGGGGAAUAUUGGGCAAUGGAGGAAACUCUGACCCAGCGACGCCGCGUGAGGGAUGAAGGCCUUCGGGUUGUAAACCGCUUUCAGCAAGGAAGAAGCGAAAGUGACGGUACUUGCAGAAGAAGCACCGGCUAACUAUGUGCCAGCAGCCGCGGUAAUACAUAGGGUGCAAGCGUUGUCCGGAAUUAUUGGGCGUAAAGAGCUCGUAGGUGGUUCGUCACGUCGGAUGUGAAAAUCUGGGGCUUAACCCCAGACCUGCAUUCGAUACGGGCGAGCUAGAGUGUGGUAGGGGAGACUGGAAUUCCUGGUGUAGCGGUGGAAUGCGCAGAUAUCAGGAGGAACACCAAUGGCGAAGGCAGGUCUCUGGGCCAUAACUGACACUGAGGAGCGAAAGUGCGGGGAGCGAACAGGAUUAGAUACCCUGGUAGUCCGCACCGUAAACGGUGGGCACUAGUUGUGGGAACCUUCCACGGUUUCCGCGACGCAGCAAACGCAUUAAGUGCCCCGCCUGGGGAGUACGAUCGCAAGAUUAAAACUCAAAGGAAUUGACGGA
rnacentral:rRNA from 1 species